UGGGGAAUAUUGCACAAUGGAGGGAACUCUGAUGCAGCGACGCCGCGUGAGUGAUGAAGGACUUCGUUUCGUAAAACUCUGUUCUAUGGGAAGAAAAGGACUGUACCAUAGGAGAAAGCUCCGGCUAAAUACGUGCCAGCAGCCGCGGUACUACGUAUGGAGCGAGCGUUGUCCGGAAUUAUUGGGCGUAAAGGGUGCGCAGGCGGCUUUACAAGUUGGAUGUGAAAUAUUGUGGCUCAACCACAAACGUGCAUCCAAAACUGCAAAGCUUGAGUGAAGGAGAGGUAAGUGGAAUUCCUGGUGUAGCGGUGGAAUGCGUAGAUAUCAGGAGGAAUACCGGUGGCGAAGGCGACUUACUGGACUUAAACUGACGCUCAGGCACGAAAGCGUGGGGAGCAAACAGG
rnacentral:rRNA from 1 species